GGGGAAUAUUGCACAAUGGAGGAAACUCUGAUGCAGCGACGCCGCGUGAGGGAAGAAGGUCUUCGGAUUGUAAACCUCUGUCUUUGGGGACGAUAAUGACGGUACCCAAGGAGGAAGCCACGGCUAACUACGUGCCAGCAGCCGCGGUAAAACGUAGGUGGCAAGCGUUGUCCGGAAUUACUGGGUGUAAAGGGAGCGCAGGCGGAAAGGUAAGUUGGGAGUGAAAACUAUGGGCUCAACCCAUAAAUUGCUUUCAAAACUAUUUUUCUUGAGUGGUGUAGAGGUAGGCGGAAUUCCCGGUGUAGCGGUGGAAUGCGUAGAUAUCGGGAGGAACACCAGUGGCGAAGGCGGCCUACUGGGCACUAACUGACGCUGAGGCUCGAAAGCAUGGGUAGCAAAC
rnacentral:rRNA from 1 species